rnacentral:lncRNA from 1 species
AAAAAAAAAAAACCUACAUCAUCAAAAUAGCCAGGGAAAUCAUCAAAUACACUUUUUGGGGAACAGAAAGUGGGUCAGAGUGACAUCAUAUAAACAAAGAGACUGACCAUCAAAGGAUGAGUCAGCAAACACAGCCAGCAGCACUUAGACAACAAAUGAGGCCCUUGUUUGAUAUCCUAACUAAAGAGGCUUGACUCCACACAGGAACAAACGGCAGACCUGAGUUAUCCUUAAUUCAGCAAGCAUGAGCUCCUAACAAGAGUCUACACGAGGCUACCGAAGUGGCCAGUCUCACUGGCUGAUUCAGCAAGUGCGAGCCUCCACAGUGACAUUUCCUUCAACCAAACCACACCCACUCCAACGAGGCCACGCCUCCUAAUAGUACUGAAUGCUGCUACCUUUGGAGGCCAAUGCCUUUCAAUCCACCAUGUAGCCUAUCCAAAAGGAACUCUGCAACUGGCUUUAAAAGAGGAAAAUAGACCAAUAGACUGGGAGGUAACGAAGCACGCCUUUAGUUCCAGCACUCAGGAGGCAGAGGCAGGUGGAUCUCUGAGUUCCAGGCCAGCCUGGUCUACAGAGCGAGUUUAAGGACAGCCAGG